CCCUUAGAUGUUCUGGGCUGCACGCGCGCUACACUGAUACCUUCAGCGAGUCCACCACCUUGCCUGGGAGGGUGGGGUAACCUCUGGAAAGUGCAUCGUGAUGGGGAUCGAUUAUUGCAAUUAUUAAUCUUGAACGAGGAAUUCCUAGUAAGCGCAAGUCAACUGCUCGCGUUGAUUACGUCCCUGCCCUUUGUACACACCGCCCGUCGCUACUACUGAUUGGAUGUUUAAGCGAGGUUCUCGAACUGCUAGCGACUUAGCUUCGGUGAGGUCGCAGUGUGGGAAGUGAACCUAGCUUUGGUGUCUAGAGGAAGUAAAAGUCGUAACA
rnacentral:rRNA from 1 species